rnacentral:rRNA from 1 species
UUAAGCGACUAAGCGUACACGGUGGAUGCCCUGGCAGUCAGAGGCGAUGAAGGACGUGCUAAUCUGCGAUAAGCGUCGGUGAGGUGAUAUGAACCGUUAUAACCGGCGAUUUCCGAAUGGGGAAACCCAGUGUGUUUCGACACACUAUCAUUAACUGAAUCCAUAGGUUAAUGAGGCGAACCGGGGGAACUGAAACAUCUAAGUACCCCGAGGAAAAGAAAUCAACCGAGAUUCCCCCAGUAGCGGCGAGCGAACGGGGAGGAGCCCAGAGCCUGAAUCAGUGUGUGUGUUAGUGGAAGCGUCUGGAAAGGCGCGCGAUACAGGGUGACAGCCCCGUACACAAAAAUGCACAUGCUGUGAGCUCGAUGAGUAGGGCGGGACACGUGGUAUCCUGUCUGAAUAUGGGGGGACCAUCCUCCAAGGCUAAAUACUCCUGACUGACCGAUAGUGAACCAGUACCGUGAGGGAAAGGCGAAAAGAACCCCGGCGAGGGGAGUGAAAAAGAACCUGAAACCGUGUACGUACAAGCAGUGGGAGCCUCUUAAUGGGGUGACUGCGUACCUUUUGUAUAAUGGGUCAGCGACUUAUAUUCUGUAGCAAGGUUAACCGAAUAGGGGAGCCGAAGGGAAACCGAGUCUUAACUGGGCGUUAAGUUGCAGGGUAUAGACCCGAAACCCGGUGAUCUAGCCAUGGGCAGGUUGAAGGUUGGGUAACACUAACUGGAGGACCGAACCGACUAAUGUUGAAAAAUUAGCGGAUGACUUGUGGCUGGGGGUGAAAGGCCAAUCAAACCGGGAGAUAGCUGGUUCUCCCCGAAAGCUAUUUAGGUAGCGCCUCGUGAAUUCAUCUCCGGGGGUAGAGCACUGUUUCGGCAAGGGGGUCAUCCCGACUUACCAACCCGAUGCAAACUGCGAAUACCGGAGAAUGUUAUCACGGGAGACACACGGCGGGUGCUAACGUCCGUCGUGAAGAGGGAAACAACCCAGACCGCCAGCUAAGGUCCCAAAGUCAUGGUUAAGUGGGAAACGAUGUGGGAAGGCCCAGACAGCCAGGAUGUUGGCUUAGAAGCAGCCAUCAUUUAAAGAAAGCGUAAUAGCUCACUGGUCGAGUCGGCCUGCGCGGAAGAUGUAACGGGGCUAAACCAUGCACCGAAGCUGCGGCAGCGACGCUUAUGCGUUGUUGGGUAGGGGAGCGUUCUGUAAGCCUGUGAAGGUGGCCUGUGAGGGUUGCUGGAGGUAUCAGAAGUGCGAAUGCUGACAUAAGUAACGAUAAAGCGGGUGAAAAGCCCGCUCGCCGGAAGACCAAGGGAGAUCGGAAGAGCACACCGAAUGCUGACAUAAGUAACGAUAAAGCGGGUGAAAAGCCCGCUCGCCGGAAGACCAAGGGUUCCUGUCCAACGUUAAUCGGGGCAGGGUGAGUCGACCCCUAAGGCGAGGCCGAAAGGCGUAGUCGAUGGGAAACAGGUUAAUAUUCCUGUACUUGGUGUUACUGCGAAGGGGGGACGGAGAAGGCUAUGUUGGCCGGGCGACGGUUGUCCCGGUUUAAGCGUGUAGGCUGGUUUUCCAGGCAAAUCCGGAAAAUCAAGGCUGAGGCGUGAUGACGAGGCACUACGGUGCUGAAGCAACAAAUGCCCUGCUUCCAGGAAAAGCCUCUAAGCAUCAGGUAACAUCAAAUCGUACCCCAAACCGACACAGGUGGUCAGGUAGAGAAUACCAAGGCGCUUGAGAGAACUCGGGUGAAGGAACUAGGCAAAAUGGUGCCGUAACUUCGGGAGAAGGCACGCUGAUAUGUAGGUGAAGUCCCUUGCGGAUGGAGCUGAAAUCAGUCGAAGAUACCAGCUGGCUGCAACUGUUUAUUAAAAACACAGCACUGUGCAAACACGAAAGUGGACGUAUACGGUGUGACGCCUGCCCGGUGCCGGAAGGUUAAUUGAUGGGGUUAGCGGCAACGCGAAGCUCUUGAUCGAAGCCCCGGUAAACGGCGGCCGUAACUAUAACGGUCCUAAGGUAGCGAAAUUCCUUGUCGGGUAAGUUCCGACCUGCACGAAUGGCGUAAUGAUGGCCAGGCUGUCUCCACCCGAGACUCAGUGAAAUUGAACUCGCUGUGAAGAUGCAGUGUACCCGCGGCAAGACGGAAAGACCCCGUGAACCUUUACUAUAGCUUGACACUGAACAUUGAGCCUUGAUGUGUAGGAUAGGUGGGAGGCUUUGAAGUGUGGACGCCAGUCUGCAUGGAGCCGACCUUGAAAUACCACCCUUUAAUGUUUGAUGUUCUAACGUGGGCCCCUAAUCGGGGUUGCGGACAGUGUCUGGUGGGUAGUUUGACUGGGGCGGUCUCCUCCUAAAGAGUAACGGAGGAGCACGAAGGUUGGCUAAUCCUGGUCGGACAUCAGGAGGUUAGUGCAAUGGCAUAAGCCAGCUUGACUGCGAGCGUGACGGCGCGAGCAGGUGCGAAAGCAGGUCAUAGUGAUCCGGUGGUUCUGAAUGGAAGGGCCAUCGCUCAACGGAUAAAAGGUACUCCGGGGAUAACAGGCUGAUACCGCCCAAGAGUUCAUAUCGACGGCGGUGUUUGGCACCUCGAUGUCGGCUCAUCACAUCCUGGGGCUGAAGUAGGUCCCAAGGGUAUGGCUGUUCGCCAUUUAAAGUGGUACGCGAGCUGGGUUUAGAACGUCGUGAGACAGUUCGGUCCCUAUCUGCCGUGGGCGCUGGAGAACUGAGGGGGGCUGCUCCUAGUACGAGAGGACCGGAGUGGACGCAUCACUGGUGUUCGGGUUGUCAUGCCAAUGGCACUGCCCGGUAGCUAAAUGCGGAAGAGAUAAGUGCUGAAAGCAUCUAAGCACGAAACUUGCCCCGAGAUGAGUUCUCCCUGACUCCUUGAGAGUCCUGAAGGAACGUUGAAGACGACGACGUUGAUAGGCCGGGUGUGUAAGCGCAGCGAUGCGUUGAGCUAACCGGUACUAAUGAACCGUGAGGCUUAACCUU